UACGGGGGGAGCAAGCGUUGUUCGGAUUCAUUGGGCGUAAAGGGCGCGUAGGCGGCAUGCCAAGCGUGUGGUGAAAGCCCGGGGCUCAACCCCGGGUCGGCCGUGCGGACUGGCGUGCUCGAGCACUGUAGGGGCGGGUGGAAUUCCGGGUGUAGCGGUGGAAUGCGUAGAGAUCCGGAAGAACACCGGUGGCGAAGGCGGUUCUCUGGGACGGUACUGACGCUGAGGAGCGAAAGCGUGGGGAGCGAACAGG
rnacentral:rRNA from 1 species